rnacentral:rRNA from 1 species
AUUGAACGCUGGCGGCAUGCUUUACACAUGCAAGUCGAACGGCAGCACGGGCUUCGGCCUGGUGGCGAGUGGCGAACGGGUGAGUAAUGCAUCGGAACGUGCCGUGUAGUGGGGGAUAACGUAGCGAAAGUUACGCUAAUACCGCAUACGCCCUGAGGGGGAAAGUGGGGGACCGCAAGGCCUCACGCUAUACGAGCGGCCGAUGUCGGAUUAGCUAGUUGGUAGGGUAAAGGCCUACCAAGGCGACGAUCCGUAGCGGGUCUGAGAGGAUGAUCCGCCACACUGGGACUGAGACACGGCCCAGACUCCUACGGGAGGCAGCAGUGGGGAAUUUUGGACAAUGGGCGCAAGCCUGAUCCAGCCAUGCCGCGUGAGUGAAGAAGGCCUUCGGGUUGUAAAGCUCUUUCAGACGGAAAGAAAUCGGUGUGUUUAAUACACGCACUGGAUGACGGUACCGUAAGAAGAAGCACCGGCUAACUACGUGC